rnacentral:lncRNA from 1 species
CUCCAGCCUGGGCGACAGAGCAAGACUCCAUCUCAAAAAAAACCAACAACAACAACAACAACAACAACAACAAAAAGACCACUAGCUAGACUAAUAAAGAAGAAAAGAGAGAAGAUCCAAAUAAACACAAUUAGAAAUGAUAAAGGAAAUGUUACUACUGACCUCACAGAUAAAAAAACAACCACCAGAGACUACUAUGACCACAUCUACACAUACAGACUAGAAAACCUAAAACAGAUGAAUAAAUUCCUGGACACAUACACCCUCCCAAGACUGAGCAAGGAAGAAAUUGAUUCCCUGAACAGACCAAUAAUGAGCUCCGAAAUUCAAUCAGUAAUAAAUAGCCUACCAACCAAAAAAGGCCAGGACCUGAAGGACUCACAGCUGAAUUCUAUUAGAUGUGCAAAGAAGAGCUGGUACCAUUCCUACAGAAACUAUUCUAAAAAAUUGAGCAGAAAGGACUCCUUCCCAACUCAUUCUAUGAGGCUAGCAUCAUCUUAAUGGUAAACUUUCAAUGACUCUCCACCACCAAGAGGAUGAAUUUCUAUCUCCUUAGAAUGGCAUAUAAAGCCAUUUGUGAUUUGGCCCUGGCUUCCCUCUCCACUCCAGCAGCUGUACUUAAGUACUUGUAGGUCCCUUAGGGAGCCAUAAUUUGUGGCAUUUUUACAUGUUACUUCCUUGGCAUAUAUAUUUUAUUUUAUUUUUGUCAGGCCCACACCACUUAGAUGUUGCUGACUCUAGUAAAGCUUCCCUUACUCCCCAGGUGCUGGGCUAAGUACCCCUAUUCUGGGAACCCUUCUGCUUACCAUAUCACAGCACUUCCGUGACUUCAUAAUCGUCUGUUUACUUGCCAUUUCCUCUAUUAAAUUCUGAGCUCCCUGAUGGGAGUAUUCAUGGUUAGAGUCUCAGUCUCUAUUACGGGCCCUAGUACACUUCAGGAACUCAAAAGCUUUGCUGAUAUAAUGCAAGGUGAUAAAAAAGUAGAAAGACUUGGGAUAAUCUUGAUUUCUGAAGGCAUCAAACGGGAAUUAGAGAAAGCAGCAGGAAAAACGAAGGCCUUUUUAAGUUCCAUGAGAACUACGGUUUGCAAGACUGGUCAAAACAGUACAAUGCAAGCGGCAAGAAUCAGGAAGUGCACAGAAACAAGAAGCUCGGUGCACACUGGGAUCAGGCAAGCAUCUGGGAGAAGACUGUAGCAAGACUGGAUCCUGAGUGCUGCUCUGGCCAAGUCACCUCGCUGAAAUCUCCACUUCCACUUGUGCAACCUACCAAGCCACUCUCUACACAGCUGCCAGAGUGAUUACAAAAACAACGCGGGAUUAUGCUACCCCUGCUUAUCUAAAAUUUGUCAAAAUGCCCGUUACACUUUGAAUAAAAUACAGAUUCCUCUCAGAUCUCAUUUCUUAUCAUGUCUUUCUCAAUCAUUAUGUUCCAGCCUCACUGACCUUCUUUCUGUUCCUGUAAAAUAUUCCUGCCUCAAGGGCGCAGGCCUACGACCUGCAGUUCUCUUUUUCCCACAUGUGACCAGGCUCUCUCUUAGCCAUCAGGUCUCAAAUAAGCUCUUUCCGUUCUGUCUAGGCAUCUUAUCAAAAUCAACCUGUGUAUUAUUAUUCAUUUAUCACAUAAUCUUGUUUUAUUUUCCUCAUAGCACUCUCACUUUCUGAAAUUAUCUUUGUUUAUAUGUUUAAUGCCCUUCUUUUCCACUAGAAUGGAAACUCAAAGAUCAAGAAACUUAUCUGGCCUUUUCACUGUUGAAUUGCCAAAAUUUUGAACAGUGCCUAACAUACAGUAAAGGCUCAAUAAAUAAAUAAAUAAAUGUUCAGCUCUCUUGGCUGUCUCUGCAGUGAUCAAGAAUAUUUUGAUGUCUCUCAAAAGAACUAUAUGCUUAUAGUAGCCU